CGCAAAUGCUCUUUAAGGGUUUAGGUCGCCGAUGCUUCCGAACCCUCGUGCUUCGGUAUUUCCCGGUGUCGGUAACCCCGUUUUUUGUGGAAAUCCUCAGUAAGCAGGAUCGGGUGUCGGAGUCGGUGAGGUUUUCACCGAAGGUCGUCGAUUGCAACCGUGAAACCCACGAAGGAAUGGGCAGGCUCCCCGCUGUGCACAUUUUGGCAGUAACAUGCGGCUCUGGGAUCCGGAGCUUCGGUGCUAGGUGUGCAAUCUGAAAAGUGUUAGGGUUUAGUGGUUCUGGGUGUAGUGGCGGAGUGGCACAAUGAACAAACCAGGAAAUCCAGGUGGACCAGGCGGAGGUGUGGGCAGUUUUGGUGCCGGGGGUGUAGCUGGCCCGACUGCCGCAGCGGCAGCGCAAGCAGCACAGAGGCAGCGGUCCCUUCUGCAAAGAGCAGAUGCGGACAUCGGAAGCUUAUUGGAUAACUUCUCGCAUUUGUUGAAGGCUGCUCGGAUAAAUGAUCCGGUGAGGAAUGGACAAGAAGCAUUUCAGAUGGAGGUCCACGCAGCUCGCGUAGUGCAGGCCGCAGAUUCGUUACUUAAGCUGGUUUCGGAACUAAAACAGUCAGCUGUAUUUUCAGACUUUUUGUCAUUAAACCGGAGCAUUAAUCAACGGAUUGUCAAGUUCGGAGAGCAAAGCCAAGAUUCAGAUAAACUCCUGUUCAACCUCGGAGAUGAAAUUGCUGCUUCUUUGCAGGAAUUGGAGACUCAUUACUACGCCUCUCCGUUCCGGUCAUUAGAAGCUGAUACAGAAAUGCUCCAGCAUCCGAGUAAUGGAGUUGUCUAAUAGACUAAUUCCUUCCACAGGAUGUCCCGGGAAUUCUAGUUGGCCUUUCCUGGACGUUACUAGUAAAUUUGUUCUUCUUGAGAGAAUCCUCUGCUCCUGUGCUCUCUGCUCUCCUGGAUAUCCGUGUGUGACGUCAACGAGGCCUCACAACGACUCAGGUGACCCCGCACCGAGAAACUAAAUAUCUGGCGUGAUUGAGUGGAUUGAAACUGCAUUAAUUUGCGAAAUAGAGCUUUCUGUGACCUGGUCUUUUGUGUCUGGGCGUCGUGAUGUGUGGAAAGCCAGAUUACUCGCUCGGACCAGUUAUUCAAUAUUUUCUGGCUUCUUAGUCACUUCACUGAUGUUUUUCUUUCUAAGGAAAAUGAAUGCUUUGCUGUUGAUCAAUGAGCGUCGCCUUCAUUUUGUGAACCUUCUAUACGAAAUCGAACCUUCCGAAAUAGCUAACUUCCAUGGUAAGCUUUGCCCCGACAUGAUCAACGUCUGAAGCGUUUUCGAAGGACAAGAGGACAUAUACACUUUCGAUGGACCCCUCAAAUUUGUAUCCUAAUGCUGUACCAUGUUACAGCAAUGGCUAGUUUAACGGUUUGAACAUGUGAACAUGUGAGCUUUCUCGACAGCGUCACGAAUGCAGUGACGGCUUGAAACUUAUGGGCUCGCACGGUUCCCACGCCAUCUCGGAUUCCGCAUCUUCUGUGGCCGGACCCAGUACUCACUUCUGCCUGGAGUGGAUUGCAAUCCACCUCAACAAUUAAUGGCUUCGAGGAUAAGGACGCACAGCAGGAAAAUAUGACACUUUGGAUAACCUAGACUGGUAUCCGGGGUUCAUUAGUUCGAUGAAUCUGGGCGAGAGCUUGCAGCCUGGCCAGCCACUAUGAGCCUGUGGGAUUCCUGGAAAUGCUCAUGGGAAGGCCUCCUUACUUUUGGAAAUUGCCAAAAAUACAUAAAUUAGUUUAUUUUCGGAUCAAAAUGUGAUUUUAUUUCCAAAACUCUUGGAAUUUAUAAAAUGAGAGUAAUUUCUCUAUAUUUAGACA